CCCCCCCCCCCCCAACCAACCAAAAAAAACAAUGUUUGCCUAUUUAUUGGACAGUGUACUUAAAAAAAUCAAAAACCAAAGAAUAAAAUGAGAAAAAAAAGAUAGUAAAUUAAUGAUGUAGUCUCCCUUCACAAAAUGUGAAAACAGCUGUCAAAAUAUUAAUUUUUUAUGUUAGAUGUAUAUUUUAAGUAGUGCUGUUAAGGACUUUUAAAGAGAAAACAAAUCUUUGCACAAUUUAAUCAUAUUGCUGCUUAUUUAUUUAUAUUGGUGUAGUCAUAUAUAUUGUUUGUUUUGCCUUCUCAAUAAUCUAAAAAGGUUGUAGAACUGUUGAUAGCAGCUAGGUUUUGUCUGCUUUAUAUUCGGAGUUGCAUUUUAUUUAUACAUGUUGUACAUUUUAUAGUCACGAUGAUUUUUAAACUCAUAUUUUAAAACAUGUUGUUUUAUUUUUAAUGGUGCAAUAUAGGAAUGUUUUGUAUUUUAAUUAUUUUCAAAUGAUAUUUAUUUUUGAAAUAUAUUUUGUCUUUUCCUUCUUUUUUGACAAUAAAUACUGGAUGAAGUGCAA
rnacentral:misc_RNA from 1 species